UGUUGUUACCUUGCCUUUUUAACCACUUAGUUCCAUCCUAGGUUAUACUUAAUCCCCUCCAGUACUGAGCUUCUGGCUUUCUGCUGCAAACAUCAGGAAACUGAGAACAUAAAGAUACUGUGAAUGCAGAGUAGAGUUGUUUCAUAAGGUAGAUCUCAUGAGACAAAUUCCCAGAGUUCUGUGGGACACUUCUCUAUUCCUUAAAAACCUGCUUUUUAUUAAUAUUUUCUGUUGUUGCAUGCACAUUUCCAAACAGGGAAUACACUACAGGGCAAGCUGUUUGCAACUUUGUAAGCUGACUCACCAGGUUUCUGUGUUAACCAACGUAAGACGUCUGUUAUGUGUAAAAUUGACUUGGGUUCUUUGCUUUGAAUACCUGUAAAAGUGCUGGCAUUCACCCAUACCAUCCAUUUGCUUAUGUGUUCCCAUACAAUGGAGUGAUCUUUCUGAAUAAAAUUCAUUUCCUCAAUUAAACAGUUGACUCGUCAAUCCAACUUCAUGUUCAAAUUAUGAAUGUACUCAGCCUAUGUUUUAUGUCUUAAUUUUAGGAGUGUAAUCUGGAGUUAGGCUAUGCUGAAGUCUCAACCAGCUUCAACAGCAUAAUUCAGCUAGAACAAAACAAAACUGAGAGGCGAUGAAGAGAGAAAUCAUGUAGACCGGCUGCAGCUGCUACCACUGGUCUCUCCAGCUGGUUAACGCAUAAGGAUUUUAAUCAUGGGCCUCAGGACAGAAUCACAGACAAUUUUUUUCCAGGAAAAUACAUCUGACAUGUGAGAAUGGAUGCCAUAGGUGGAGAGAAUGAAAAAGGAAGAAAUAUCAUCAUAGGAAUGCCAAGGUGGUUGUUUUCAUCAAGGAGAUUCACUUGAGCCACGGUGAAAGCAGUCUGGAAGUCAUUAAUGUGCGAUGUUACCAACAGUAUUUGAUGCUGUAAAGGAGCAAUCGCAGUCGUACAUGUGAUCAACACGCAGGGAACAACGUCUGCCUAAAGCACCGUCCUGCUCAUCCAAACACCCACAGAGGCUGUGUCCCACCAUCCCAAACCCUGUCCCCAACCCCAAUAUCAUCCCCAAACAAUUCCUCACCAAUGCCACCUGCUAAGCCCUGGGUGUGGGCCAUGGCUGCACCUUUGACCACCUCCAGCAUGAUUUCUCAGGCUUCUGCCUCUACAUUUUGACUGAACACUGCUUCAGAAACAAGAGCCCCAGAUUCUUCUGUGUCCUCAUCCAGGGCAGCCCUGGCAGUGUCAUUGGUGCCAAAGUCCAUGUCUUCCACACGGUGAAGGAGCUGGAGCCUGGGCGAGUGCUGAAGCUGACACGAGCCUUCCUCUGACCAGCGGCCCUGCGGAAAGUCUGGAGAGCCAGACAGAGGUUGAGAAGGCAGCAGAGAGAGGUGACAUCCCAUCUUCCUCCCAUGGCCCGGCUGCACAAAAGCGCAAGCGAUGUGAGGAGAAGGCCAAAGCAAGCGAGUUGCCUCUCAAGAAGAGAAUCAAGGCUGGACGCAAGGUGCUCCUCAGGUCUGCUGAUUGGAAAUCCACCUUCCCCAGGAAGCAGACUCUGAAGCGGAAGGCAGCUGACAUGGAACCAUCUGCUGCUGAGGACACCGAUGAGCCCCCAGCCCGAAAACUGCCUAUGGUAAGAGCAGCAGCAACAGCAGCAGUGCAUACGGAAGGUUUACACUGCACUUGAAGUCAAGGUAGACAUUUCAAGUGUUCUGCAGGUCUGCUGUUUCCUUUGAAGGCAGAUGUCUCACAGGGUACUUGUGGAAGACCUCUAUUUUGGGUAGAUGUAGAGCAAGGAUUAUGUAAGACUCUGUGAUUCUACAAUUCUCAGAUUGCUCUGUGGUGUGAAGGAUUUUGUCCACGAAUGCUGCGCUGUUAAAAGCACCCAAGGUCAUUGUAACCUUCAAGAGAACGCUUUCUUCAGGAGCCCCGUGCUUCUGUAUUUGGGUUCAGGCUCAGCAGUGCCCAGGGGAGGGAGGAGCAGUCCUCAAAGAUCAUCCAGUGUUCCAGCUGUCCUGCUGUGGCCAGGGCUGCCAGCCACGAGAUCUGACAGCCUGAAACCCAUCCAGCCUGGCCUUGAAUGCCAGGGGCUCUCAUUCUCUCCUUGUGGUUUUCUACGUGGUACAGAAUUAUGACUGGAAUAUUUGUAACUGGAGGACAGUAUGAAAUAUGAUCUUCAGCCUUCUCACCCUUGGAAGAGGACAAUGUUGAUGACCCAGAGCUAUGCCAUUACUUCCUACCUCCUGACAAGGCCCUUGCCCAAAGUGCUGGGACACAGAUUUCUGGACACAACAGGAGAAAUUGCUGGCUGUGAGCACAGAUGGCCCCUCUAAGGAUGGCUGGACUUCCCAAUAGGGAACAACUGGGGAUUCUGCUCUCACUGUGCCAGAGUUUGUCCUGGGCACCUUCACAAUUACUUCCUAAAGUAAAGAAGAACUCCUUUUACCUGCUUGAAAGACAUCGGUCUCAACAGGUGCUCCGUGUCUCCGGUACUGCAGAAUUCACAGGUCAGUGAUGGUUGAGUUUUACUCUGUUGCACAUGGGGGCCAUACUCUAAAGCCAGUGGCUGGAAGAAGGGAUAAAAACAAAUGUGCUUUUCCUUCGAUGGUUUCAUGAAGAAACACAUCAGUCUUGUAGGGAAAAGCUAUUUCAGGGGGAAUUAGUGAUAGUAAGUGCUGCUCAUGCCAGCCCUGGCUCAGGAGAGUCCGUAAGGCACAACCUUUUCCUCAGCAUUUUUGUUAGCACAAAUAUUAAAAGUGCUGAGGGCAUGAGAUGACACACGAAAUCCUUGACUCAAAACAGGGAUGUGGACAGCCCUCAUACUGAAUGCCUUCUGCUCAGGAAGUUGGAUUUAUACUCAACAUUGUUUGUAUUUAAUUAAUUACACUAAAACCAUUUCAGCACGCAGUCAUCGAUUCAUCUUUUGUAAUAAAGAAAUAGGCUGUGUGAGCUUAUAAAUACAGAUCUGGAAGAAGGCAGCUCUACUGCAAGGGCAUUGAAAUGAUGCCUGAGUAAAGCAGAUAUAGACCAGAAAGAUAGUAAUUAUUUCUUAGAGCUGAGUCCACGAGUUUCUGAUUAUUUGUUUACCAUUUGGGGGCAAUUAUAAGAUCAAUGAAGAAAGAUAACUGUUAAUUUAUGUUUUUUCAUAAGUCUGAAGAGAAAAGAUGAAUAGAAAUGUAGGUAGUAAAAAAAAAAUGUACACUGAUCAAAACCUGUAGAAAAAUACCAUUUAUUUUAAGCACUUUAUAAAGGCUAAAGCCAGAAAGGGUGCUAGAUUACUGAAAUCAUAUAGCUUGUAUGUGAGCAAAAUGCUGUAUUACGUCUUCUGGGUCACUGCAGAUGUGGCCUGUAAUGUUUAAGUGAAAGCACCUGAAAGUUUUAUUUCACUCUGCUCCAACAGCAUACAGAAACUAGGCAUUCAUCUGCCUGAGCACACCGAAGACUUAAUUUCAGAGCACACCUAUGCACCAAAAUAGUGUCAGCAUCCGUACAAAGCAUAAUGAUGGCUCCUGCUGCUUUCUUUAACAUAACCAUGUGUCAGCAGUGACCAGUACCGAUCAUAUUGCUUCCUUUCAUGCCACAGACCAACAUUUAAAGCUUUUAAGCAGGAUGCAGAAGAUUCGGUUCAGUUCUCUCAUAUCAUAGAGGAGCGUACAAAGGAUCAAGGGGAAGAUACUGAACUGUUUCCCUUAUUGGAGGUACGUUUUGGGACCAAAAAUAAUCCCGAACUGAGGCAGAAAGGAGAGCAGGAGUUGCAACACGCCACUGCAAUGCUAGUGGUUGCCUAGGGUUUUCUAGGGUUUUUGCCUCUACCAUGAAGAUUUUUUUCUUGAAUUAACACAGAAAUCAGCCUCAGAUUAAAAAGAAAAAAGAAAAGGAAAAAAAGAACCCUUAAAUGUAAUAUUUAGUUAUCGUACUAUUCAUAAAAACUAUAAUUUAUAUUCUUAAUAGCGUCAGAACGUUGGAGAUAAUUGGAAUAAAGUAUCACCAAGGGGAAAACAGUAUGUCGUGUUAGUCAUCCAAACAGGUGGAGAAAAUACCAUCUAGUUUUGCUUUAAUUGCUGAUUAUGUAAAACUAUCAGUCUUUCUAGCCCAGCAGUUUCAGUUCUAUUUAAAUAUAAAAUCUGAAAAUAAGUAAGAAAGAAUUAGAGAUCAUAACGUCCUGUGGUUUAACCCUUCAUCCUGCAUGAUUGCUUUGAAAGUAUUUUCUCCACUUGUAUCAUGAACAGUGCUUUUGAAUUGUAUGAUUAAAUUGAAAUCAGUUCCUCAUGUUGGCUCAAACUGCUCUUAGAAAUAAUGAUUUUUUUUAUGAGCAACUUGGUGGAAAGAGAAGUUCACCUAAAUAAAUAAAAUAAAUCUCUGCUAAUGUCAACUCCUUCACCACAGGCAAUCAGAGUAACAGCUGUUUCGACAACCAACAUCUCCUCUGGCUCUAACAAGCAAUUUUCAUUUUAUGCUUCUCAAAGACAGCAGCAUUAGAUACAGAUAAAUGCUGUACUUCCUUAGCCAAUUGAAUCAAAUGUGGCUGUAUGCAAAAGUACAAAUCUAAACGCAAGCCCAAACAAUGAAUUCAGAGCCACAGUGUAUUUAGGUCCUGAAUAUUUAGUAGCAAAAUGAUAUUUUAUUGGUCACCUGCAAUUAUAUAGCAAUGACCUUGGGAUUUCUGAAUUUCACAGCUCUCCAUCUGCCCUUUCAGUUCUGUUUUCUGGAGGCUGUUCCAGAAACACAAAAUCAGGACUGUAAUUUAAGCUGUUACAUAGAAGCUGUGGGAUUAGAACCAGACCUACUUUACAAAAGGCUGGUUCAUUUUACAGAAUUGUAUUCACAAUAAUCCAGAAGCAAACUGUGGAUGUGGAUUUUCUUACAGAUAAUUUCUCAUUUCAGUGGCUCCUUCUUUAACGUGGGCCCAAAUCCCUCCAUGGGUGAAUAGUCUUGACUCUUUAUGUUUGCGUAGGGUUAAAUGGAAGUGACGCAGAUGGCAUUUUCAAAUGUUUAUAGCAACAUGUUUUGUUUUUUCCCUUUUGCUUAGAAGAAAUAUGCAUAAUCAUAAAUUUAGUGGUAGAUGGAUAUUGACUUCAGCUGAAUCUUAGUGCAUAUAGAAGCUACUGACAUUUAGACAGUUGAUGGGAGUUGAACAGGGUUUUUCACAGUGGCCUUCAAAAGCAGUGCCUUCCUUAUGCUUGCUUUACAUGGACCCAGAUAUUCCCUCCAUGAUCUCUACCUUGCUAGGACUGGCCAUCCUGGUACCACGCGAGUAUUUCUCUCCAACUUUGAAAUUGGCUUUGACAGUUCUCUAACACAGAGUCCUCAUAGUUGAAUUACUGAAGCCUUUGUUUUGCCUUCUCCAUGGUUUAUAUACUCCAUGUUUUUAGAGUUCACUCUCUCAAAGCAUGGCUUAACUGGUACCAUCUCAUGUUAGAACAUCACUUGUGAAUCUUCUAUGAAUCUCACAUCUUCCAAUAUUGUUUAUUCAGCUCUUUGCAUUUGAGAAAUUUGUCUUCAGCUAAAACCUGAAGGAUUGCAUCACUGCUGGGAAGUGGACUCCUUUAGCAUCAGGAAGAGGCAAGGGCAGGGACCAGAAAGCUCUGGAAACAAUGCCUUGGGAAAAUAAGAGGUGCAAGAAGAAUCCUGUUCAUUGGGAGGAUAGAUUAACUGACUGAGUACUGAUGUUUUUGUCUAAGUAGCUUCUUCCCCUUUGUUGUCCUGGACCAAUCUUACUCUCUGCUGACCUUCUCCUGUGGCACUACAGCCAGAUUUUGUACGAUUACUUUAGCUUAAAAUAAGCAUGGCAGAACUGGUAUCUGCCAGUUUCUGUUCUGAGGCACCUAUUGAACAUAUAUGCUGGAGGAAAAAAAAAAAAAAUCUCUGUUAUCCUGUAAUAAACUCCUCCAAGAGUAAACAUCAAGUUCAGAUCAUUUCUCCAACAGAGGAAGGUCUCUUCCCUUCCUCCAGAAGCCAAUGCCUGUAAUCCCAGCUCAGCUGCAGCUGUGCUGAUAAGAGGUGUGGAGGGAGAAAUGAGAAUUCAGAAGGUAGUGCUGCAGAGGUCUUUCUGUGGUUAGCCUGGACUGUUAGGCCCGGUGCCCUAAGCUCUUUGGAUUUUGGAAGGUAAGUCCUAUUAAAUCUCUGCAGCUGUGCAACAGGGAACAUGUUGUCUUAUGAAAAGAUAACGUUCUCUUACAAUACUGAUCGAGCCACAAGUGUCUGAAAUAAAUAAAAGCACUGAGUACAGCUUGUGGUUUGGGAAGAUGUAGGUGGGGUACUCUCUGCUUAUGCCACCUGUAUACUCUUGCACUUUACCUAUGGAGUUCUUUAGCUUAUCUCUCUCCAAGUUUAGGGAAGUGUUACAUGAAGAAUGUAUCUUCCAAAGAUAACAGUCACUUGUAAAACAUGAAUGUCUUAUUCUCAAUCACAGUAUCUGCAAAGCACGCUGAUGGGGGCUUUAAAAGCAACGUAAAGUAAUUACAAUUUAGCCAAUUAAGCUCAUUUGCAUAAUGAAAUGAUUGGGAUUGUAGGAUUGACACGCAUAAUGAAUUUACAUUUUAAAUGCUGUGUUCUGAAGUUUUGCCUGUAUAUUAACUGUUCAUUUUGCUGUAAUACAGAACCUAAGGGCUGUCCAUCAAAUAGCUGAGAAAGCAGAAGGUUCCCUUUCUUCCUAUACACGAGCCAUACAUUCUCUGCGACUGGAUGGCCCCUUUGCUUUCAGCAUUUCACUGGGGAAGUGAAGCAGUUGA